GUGCGUUCCCUGAGUGAGCGCUGUGGCAGCAGAGACCACCUGCAAGUGUUCACGCUAAAUCCGACCAGGGCCUCAGAUGCCUGGGAGAGGAUCCGAGAUCAUCAGAGAGGGAGUGGGAGUCCCAGGAGGAGCGGCCCGGGUUGGCGGCGCUUGGGGCUGCCUUGGCGCCGGCUUGCGUUGGGUGCGUUUGAAAGCACAGGAGGGACGGCGGCCCCACCACGUGAGAACAGAGCUGCCCGACAUCUGGAAAGCAGAGCCCCAGCUCAGCGAACAUCUGGAGCGCUAAUCGAGGCGGGCUCCCGGAAGGGUCGGGGUAGCGAGGUGAAAGGACUCGGCUCUGGGGACUCAGACGCCUGGCCCCGGCGCCCCUCACUGGGACACGGCCGGCGUCCGCCUUGGCUGGGCGCUGA